rnacentral:tRNA from 8 species
GGAGGUGUGGCCGAGCGGUUUAAGGCAGCAGUCUUGAAAACUGCCGUAGGGGUGACUCUACCGUGAGUUCGAAUCUCACCGCCUCCG